GCGCCCCGCUAGGGGAGCGGCAGACGGGUGAGUAACGCGUGGGGAUGUACCCAGAGGUACGGAACAACUCCGGGAAACUGGAGCUAAUACCGUAUGAGCCCGAGAGGGGAAAGAUUUAUCGCCUUUGGAUCAACCCGCGUCAGAUUAGCUAGUUGGUAGGGUAACGGCCUACCAAGGCGACGAUCUGUAGCUGGUCUGAGAGGAUGAUCAGCCACACUGGGACUGAGACACGGCCCAGACUCCUACGGGAGGCAGCAGUGGG
rnacentral:rRNA from 1 species